rnacentral:rRNA from 1 species
AUUGAACGCUGGCGGCAUGCUUUACACAUGCAAGUCGAACGGUAACAGGGUGCUUGCACCGCUGACGAGUGGCGAACGGGUGAGUAAUGCGUCGGAACGUGCCGAGUAGUGGGGGAUAACGCAUCGAAAGGUGUGCUAAUACCGCAUACGUACUGAGGUAGAAAGUGGGGGACCUUCGGGCCUCACGCUAUUCGAGCGGCCGACGUCUGAUUAGCUAGUUGGUGAGGUAAAGGCUCACCAAGGCGACGAUCAGUAGCGGGGCUGAGAGGAUGAUCCGCCACACUGGGACUGAGACACGGCCCAGACUCCUACGGGAGGCAGCAGUGGGGAAUUUUGGACAAUGGGCGCAGGCCUGAUCCAGCCAUGCCGCGUGUCUGAAGAAGGCCUUCGGGUUGUAAAGGACUUUUGUCCGGGAGCAAAUACCCAGUGCUAAUAACGCUGGGGGCUGAGAGUACCGGAAGAAUAAGCACCGGCUAACUACGUGCCAGCAGCCGCCGUAA